CGUAGGGUGCAUGCGUUGUCCGGAAUUAUUGGGCGUAAAGAGCUCGUAGGCGGUCUGUUGCGUCGGCUGUGAAAACCCGGGGCUCAACCCCGGGCCUGCAGCCGAUACGGGCAGACUAGAGUUCGGCAGGGGAGACUGGAAUUCCUGGUGUAGCGGUGAAAUGCGCAGAUAUCAGGAGGAACACCGGUGGCGAAGGCGGGUCUCUGGGCCGAUACUGACGCUGAGGAGCGAAAGCGUGGGGAGCGAACAGGAUUAGAUACCCUGGUAGUCCACGCCGUAAACGUUGGGCGCUAGGUGUGGGUUCCCUUCCACGGGAUCCGUGCCGCAGCUAACGCAUUAAGCGCCCCGCCUGGGGAGUACGGCCGCAAGGCUA
rnacentral:rRNA from 1 species